rnacentral:tRNA from 1 species
UUAAGUUAAAGACGAGGGAUACACCCCCUGCAGUGA